rnacentral:tRNA from 1 species
GCAGGUACAGCUUAAUGGUAAAGCGCAUGCUUAGCAUGCACGAGGCUUUGGGUUCAAUCCUCAGUACCUCCA